rnacentral:rRNA from 2 species
CGGAGGAUCCAAGCGUUAUCCGGAAUCAUUGGGUUUAAAGGGUCCGUAGGCGGUUUAGUAAGUCAGUGGUGAAAGCCCAUCGCUCAACGGUGGAACGGCCAUUGAUACUGCUAAACUUGAAUUAUUAGGAAGUAACUAGAAUAUGUAGUGUAGCGGUGAAAUGCUUAGAGAUUACAUGGAAUACCAAUUGCGAAGGCAGGUUACUACUAAUGGAUUGACGCUGAUGGACGAAAGCGUGGGUAGCGAACAGGAUUAGAUACCCUGGUAGUCCACGCCGUAAACGAUGGAUACUAGCUGUUGGAAGCAAUUUCAGUGGCUAAGCGAAAGUGAUAAGUAUCCCACCUGGGGAGUACGUUCGCAAGAAUG